UACGGGGGGAGCAAGCGUUGUUCGGAUUUACUGGGCGUAAAGGGCGCGUAGGCGGCCACCGCAAGUCGACUGUGAAAUCUCCGGGCUUAACCCGGAAAGGUCAGCCGAUACUGCAGGGCUAGAGUGCAGAAGGGGCAACUGGAAUUCUCGGUGUAGCGGUGAAAUGCGUAGAUAUCAAGAGGAACACCUGAGGUGAAGACGGGUUGCUGGGCUGACACUGACGCUGAGGCGCGAAAGCCAGGGGAGCAAACGGG
rnacentral:rRNA from 1 species